rnacentral:rRNA from 1 species
UACGGGGGGAGCAAGCGUUGUUCGGAUUUACUGGGCGUAAAGGGCGCGUAGGCGGCCACCGCAAGUCGAUUGUGAAAUCUCCGGGCUUAACCCGGAAAGGUCAACCGAUACUGCGGGGCUAGAGUGCGGAAGGGGCAACUGGAAUUCUCGGUGUAGCGGUGAAAUGCGUAGAUAUCGAGAGGAACACCUGCGGCGAAGGCGGGUUGCUGGGCCGACACGUGACGCUGAUGCGCGAAAGCUAGGGGAGCGAACGGG